UGUGUCCAUAGCUCAGUUGGAUAGAGCGUUAGAUUGCGAUUCUUAAGGUCGGAGGUUCAAGUCCUCUUGGACACGGAAA
rnacentral:tRNA from 1 species